UACGAAGGGGGCUAGCGUUGUUCGGAAUUACUGGGCGUAAAGCGCACGUAGGCGGAUAUUUAAGUCAGGGGUGAAAUCCCAGAGCUCAACUCUGGAACUGCCUUUGAUACUGGGGUAUCUUGAGUAUGGAAGAGGUAAGUGGAAUUGCGAGUGUAGAGGUGAAAUUCGUAGAUAUUCGCAGGAACACCAGUGGCGAAGGCGGCUUACUGGUCCAUUACUGACGCUGAGGUGCGAAAGCGUGGGGAGCAAACAGGG
rnacentral:rRNA from 1 species